CAAAUUAAAUAUACAACUAUAAUUCUCAUACUACAGUUACUGCUUAUGUUAUAAGCAAGUGUUUAAUAUCUUAAAAUUCUCAUCUGACAAAUAUGAUAAUAUCAUACAAUGAAACAAAUGGAAAAAAUUCAUUUAACAAAAGGGAAGAGGAAAAGAUGAUAGAAAUACCAUUACCGGCCAACAUUUAAAAUGUCAAAAAUGUAAGCACAGGGCAUGCAGAAGUCUAAUGUGCAACCUACACUAGCAUACAGAAAGACACUAGAGGAAAUUCACAACUAAUACACUUUCUUAACCGUGUAAGGUUAAAGAUUAAAAGAUAGAAGCAUAAGAAACCAGGCUACAAAAUUCACCAAACCUGUCAACUUUAGUGGUAAUAUAAUGUACUAAACUUUAACAGUAAAUAUUAUAGUGUGUACCAUUUUCUGGCGCCAUUGCCAACUUUGCUUUCAUUUCUUGAUCUAGUUUUCCUCAAAAAAAAAUACCUUAAUUUUCCAAAGAGAUUCUUGAGAUAGUAGAGCUUCGUGCCGAUAACGUAUUACAAAACUUAGCUCAAAGUAAUAAACAAAGAUAGACAACAAAGUAGAGAGAAAGAGAGAAGAGAAUAUAUUUCUUCCAUGUAUCCAAGUGUAUUGCAAAAUGAGUUUUCAUCCUCUAUUUAUAGUACAACAUAUAGGUAUACCAAAAGAAUUUCAUAAGUAUGUCAUUAAGUAUUUGAGAUCAUGGAGGAAGAUCAUGGGUAAAUUAUGAAGGUAUGGGAGUUACAACAAUAAUGGUGAGAAGU
rnacentral:lncRNA from 1 species